ensembl:lncRNA
CCCUAUUAACUGUAGCCCAUCAGGCUCCUCUGUCCAUGGGAUUCUCCAGGCAAGCAUACUGGAGUGAGUUGCCAUUUCCUUCUUCAGGGAUCUUCCCAACCAAGGGAUUGGACCCACAUCUCCUGCACUGGCAGGUGGAUUUUUCACCACUGAGUCACCUGGAAAGCCCAAUUAUGAGGAUGUGACGACCCAGAGCUGGACCUACCCCUAAGAAGUGAAAAUACCCUUUAUCCCCAAUCAAGCCACAGCGAGAAGGAUGUCUGAUUUGGGGACAGGCCUGGGGUACUGGGGCAGGAAGGAGACCACCACAGAGGGACAAACUCACAAAAAUAUUUUUGAGCAUCAAUCCCAUAUCCAGCCAUGUGCUAGCACUGGACACAUGAAGACUUUUGGCAUGUACCACAUAGAAGGAAAUCAGUCCUGAAUAUUCAUUGAAAGGACUUAUGUUGAAGCUGAAGCUCCAAUAUUUUGGCCACCUGAUGUGAAGAACUGACUCAUUGGAAAAAAAACCCUGGUGCUGGGAAAGAUAAAAGGCAGGAGAAGGAGACAACAGAGGAAGAGAUGGUUGGAUGGCAUCACCGACUCGAUAGACAUGAGUUUGAACAAGCUCUGGGACUUGGUGGUGGACAGGGAAGCCUGGCGUGCUGCAGUCCAUGGAGUUGCAAAGAGUCAGACACAACUGAGCAACUGAAUUGAGCUGAACUGAAGUGACAUAGAGUUCACUAGUGUUUAGUUGGCUUUAUCCUUAUAACUGUCGGGCUCUUCUCUUUGGCUAAUGAAAUUGUGACUUAUAAUUUCUCAGUUUGAUCAGCAAGCUGACUAAGACUUUGCUGGACAAUCAGUGAUGCUGAUGGAGUAGGAAAUGGCAACUCACUCUAGUAUUCUUACCUGGAAAAUCCCAUGGAUAGAGGAGCCUGGUGGGCUAUACUCCAUGGGGUGGCAAAGAGUUGGAUGAGACUUACCUAGUAAACAACAACAGUAAUGUUGAAGACCACGCUGAGUCUCCAUGAUACCUCAUGUGGCACCUGGUCCAGGUAUGCCUUCCCUCCACAAUCCUGCACCACCAAAGACUCUGCUAUAUGAUACCUGGUUUCCUCUAUGGCCUAUGACAUUCUUACUGGUGCUCAAAUCUGUGUCCACCAAGAGACCCAACAGAGGUCCUUAUGUACAGAACAGAUUCUUUCUGUGGUUGACCAUGAUUUCAUGUUGGCAUGGGCUUGUUUUGCAUAGUGACCUCUUCAACUUACCAAUGGGGAAUAGGCAAGCGUUCUCCCCCAUAU